UUUAGUUAGCCUAAUGUUUUCAUAGAAUUAAUAAAUGAAGGAUUCCAAACUGAAUUUCAACUAAAGAAUGACGACUGUGACAUAUUAAAUCAAUUUCGAGUUGUUGGUAAAAAUAGAUACGGAAGAAAUUCAUUUCCAUGAUGUUAAUCAUUCAUUAUUUGUGCUCUUUCUGGGAUUAAUUGUGCAUAACCUAUAGUCUCAAAUCCACAAACGACAUACUGAUGAAGAUGGUAACUACUAGGGAACCUUCCUCAAAUGAACAAAAAUUUAUAGAUGAUCUGAAGGAAAUGAUGAUUCUGUAUCAAGAUAUCCGAAAAAAAGUGAACAGUUUUAACGACGUAUUCGGAAUUUUUUUUCUGGUUUCGAUGGGUCAUCAGUUGCCGACAAUUUUUUCUGCAGUGAAGCAUUUAUCUCAUAUUCUAUAUAAUGAAUUUGAUGCAUCGGGACUAGCUUAUACAAUACAGACUAUCGUCAUUCAGAAUUUUGGUUUGUUCUACGCGAUAAUCUAUUGCGACGACACCAUGAGAGAGGGGAGAAGGUUAUUGAGAACUUGUUUUCUUCGGAAAGGAAAAAUUAUCUCCAGAAGAUGCAGGGAGGAGCUCGUUUUAUUUACGGAAUUCCUUAAAGACCACCCUGUAGUUUUGAGUGCUGGCGGUUUCUUCGAGUUGACGAGGAACAAUUUUCUUAAUCAUUUAGGCCUGGU